AAUGGAACAUUACUGACAAUGACCUACUGAAAAAAUUGAUAGAAUCAAUGCCAAACAGGUUAUUUAAAGUGAUAUGAAGAAAUGGAGCAACAAUCAACUAUUAAUCAACAAAAAAGUUACUUCUCAAUAUUUGUUUUCAUGGUGGUCUUAUAAUUUAUUAACAGUGAAAAUUUUACUUUUAUAAAACUAAUAACUAAAAUGUGUUAAGAUUGUUGAACUAAUUGUUCAAAACUUGAUUAUUUAUUGUACUUAAUUUGUUGAGAAUAAUAAUUGACCAUUAAACAUUGUUAGUUUUGAAAAAACUAAAAAUAUGUAGUGGAUCAUAAAUUUUUAACCAACUGUAUAUUGCAUUUUAUUUUAUAUUUAUGUAAAAAAAAUGCAUUUAAAACAUUAAAUAACUACUAUUACUUCUGAUGUCUUAAUGAUCAAUGAAACUAACCACUCAUCAAAAAUUAUUUCAAAAAGCUCAUGUUCCAUCAAACAGAAUAUAGUAUCGCAAAUAAAAAUAUAAAAUACAGCCAAAGAUACUGGUGUCUACAAAUGCUUGUGAGAAAUCAAUACAAAGUGCUAUAACCAGCUUUUCAUGUGCUUGUGCAAAAUUUUAUUCUGACUUCCUCCUUUUUGGAAAAAAAUAUACAAAAUAAAUAAAUACAAUAGAAAUGCUCCCUCUUUGUCCUGGACCCUGGGCUUAUUCUCUUGUUGCAUCUACCUAGUUACUCCAUUGUCAACAUCUAUUGGAAUUUUAAGUUAAGAUUUUUGUAUUUUAAAAUUGCUGGUUUGGCUUAGUUUAAUGGGAUAUAGCAAUGCAACUCAAGGAUGAUCUGCCCAGGAAAAAUUUUCUAUGGGAAACUGGCCUCUGUUUAAGUGUUAAGAGACACAAAAAAAAAAAUGCAGAAAUCUCCAAAUGGCCAGCCCAUUGGUGAGGUGCAAAUCCACUGCAACUACCAAUAUUCAGUGAUUUUAUCCACUUGGCAACUGGCUUGACAUCUAAGACUUUGUUGUACAGUACAAUCAGUCUAGUCUAGAAAAUUAAAUAAAGAGUAAUGCAAAAUAUGUAAGUUCAUGAAUUUAUCAUAAUGCUGCACUAGUGUCAUUUGGUACAGUAGCCAAUUUUAUGGAUUCAGCAGAAAAUUUGCCUCUUUCACUAAAUGGAUCAGAUUCAGCAUAACAUACACACUUCAUACCAAAAUAUUUUAAUAUUCUAUUUAAUAUUCUAAAUAUAAAAUGGAUUUAUAACACUUUGUUAUAAAAUCUGUUUUAUAAAUUACAUAAAUUAACAUCUUUGCUUCUGUAAUUAAUGUCC